UACGGGGGGAGCAAGCGCUGUUCGGAUUUACUGGGCGUAAAGGGCGCGUAGGCGGCCACGACAAGUCAGUUGUGAAAUCUCUGGGCUUAACUCAGAACGGUCAACUGAUACUGUCGGGCUAGAGUGCAGAAGGGGCAACUGGAAUUCUCGGUGUAGCGGUGAAAUGCGUAGAUAUCGAGAGGAACACCUGCGGCGAAGGCGGCAUCCUGGACCAAUAUUGACGCUGAGGAGCGAAAGCCAGGGGAGCAAACGGG
rnacentral:rRNA from 1 species